rnacentral:rRNA from 1 species
GAUGAACGCUGGCGGCGCGCUUAACACAUGCAAGUCGAACGGAAAGGCCAGUGCUUGCACUGGUGCUCGAGUGGCGAACGGGUGAGUAACACGUGGGUGAUCUGCCCUGCACUUUGGGAUAAGCCUGGGAAACUGGGUCUAAUACCAGAUAGGACCAUGCUUUGGAUGGUGUGGUGGAAAGUUUUUUCGGUGUGGGAUGAGCUUGCGGCCUAUCAGCUUGUUGGUGGGGUAAUGGCCUACCAAGGCGUCGACGGGUAGCCGGCCUGAGAGGGUGUACGGCCACAUUGGGACUGAGAUACGGCCCAGACUCCUACGGGAGGCAGCAGUGGGGAAUAUUGCACAAUGGGCGCAAGCCUGAUGCAGCGACGCCGCGUGGGGGAUGACGGCCUUCGGGUUGUAAACUCCUUUCGCAACUGACGAAGCUUUUUGUGACGGUAGGUUGAGAAGAAGCACCGGCUAACUACGUG